UGCCAGCCGCCGCGGUAACACGAACCGUCCAAACGUUAUUCGGAAUCACUGGGCUUAAAGGGUCCGUAGGCGGGCCGGUAAGUCAGUGGUGAAAGUCUGCAGCUCAACUGUAGAACUGCCUUUGAUACUGCUGGUCUUGAGUUAUGGUGAAGUUGCCGGAAUAUGUAGUGUAGCGGUGAAAUGCAUAGAUAUUACAUAGAACACCGAUUGCGAAGGCAGGUGACUAACCAUAUACUGACGCUGAUGGACGAAAGCGUGGGGAGCGAACAGGAUUAGAUA
rnacentral:rRNA from 1 species